GAUGAACGCUGGCGGCGUGCCUAAUACAUGCAAGUCGAGCGAACGGACGAGAAGCUUGCUUCUCUGAUGUUAGCGGCGGACGGGUGAGUAACACGUGGAUAACCUACAUAUAAGACUGGGAUAACUUCGGGAAACCGGAGCUCAUACAGGAUAAUAUUUUGAACCGCAUGGUUCAAAAGUGAAAGACGGUCUUGCUGUCACUUAUAGGUGGAUCCGGGCUUCAUUAGCUAGUUGGUAAGGUAACGGCUUACCAAGGCAACGAUGCAUAGCCGACCUGAGAGGGUGAUCGGCCACACUGGAACUGAGACACGGUCCAGACUCCGACGCGAGGCAGCAGUAGGGAAUCUUCCGCGAUGGGCGAAAGCCUGACGGAGCAACGCCGCGUGAGUGAUGAAGGUCUUCGGAUCGUAAAACUCUGUUAUUAGGGAAGAACAUAUGUGUAAGUAACUGUGCACAUCUUGACGGUACCUAAUCAGAAAGCCACGGCUAACUACGUG
rnacentral:rRNA from 1 species